rnacentral:rRNA from 1 species
UAAGCGUAGACGGUGGAUGCCUUGGCAGUCAGAGGCGAUGAAGGACGUAUUAACUUGCGAAAAGCCCAGAUAAGGCAGUAAAAGCCAUUUGAAUCUGGGAUAUCCGAAUGGGGAAACCCACCUGCAUAAGCAGGUAUCUUAGCGUGAAUACAUAGCGCUAAGAGGCGAACUCGGGGAACUGAAACAUCUAAGUACCCGAAGGAAAAGAAAUCAAUUGAGAUUCCGGCAGUAGCGGCGAGCGACCCCGGAUUAGCCCUUAAGCAGACUUGGCGUUAGGUGAACAGGUUGGAAAACCUGGCAAUAAAGGGUGAUAGCCCCGUAACCGACGGCGCCAUAUUUGUGAAAACGAGUAGGACGGGACACGUGAUAUCUUGUCUGAACAUGGGGGGACCAUCCUCCAAGGCUAAAUACUCCUGACUGACCGAUAGUGAACCAGUACCGUGAGGGAAAGGCGAAAAGAACCCCUGUGAGGGGAGUGAAAUAGAACCUGAAACCGUCUACGUACAAGCAGUGGGAGCC